rnacentral:misc_RNA from 1 species
UUUCCGUAGGUGAACCUGCGGAAGGAUCAUUACCGAAAAAAAACCCUAUUACCGGAGAGAGAGUGUGCUGAGACUCGUUUUCAGCGCGCCCUUUCUUUGAUAAUAUACACCCCUUGUGUGAAACAACCGUUUUCUAUGCGCCGACAUAUUCUGUUUAAGACCCGGUAAAAUGGGUCUUUUCAGAAUCGUCGCACAUGAUCAACGCCAUUUUAAAAAACAACCACCAAAACCUUUUAGACUAAAACUAGCUUCUGUUAUAUUAAAAAAAACAACUUUUAACAACGGAUCUCUAGGCUCUC